rnacentral:rRNA from 1 species
GACGAACGCUGGCGGCGUGCUUAACACAUGCAAGUCGAACGGGUCUGCCCUGUUUUUUGCGGGGUGGGUCAGUGGCGAACGGGUGAGUAACACGUGAGUAACCUGCCCCUCACUUCUGGAUAACCGCUUGAAAGGGUGGCUAAUACGGGGUGUUCUGGCUGUGCCGCAUGGUGUGGCUGGGAAAGAUUCACUUUUGUGGUGUUUUGGUGGGGGAUGGGCUCGCGGCCUAUCAGCUUGUUGGUGGGGUGAUGGCCUGCCAAGGCUUUGACGGGUAGCCGGCCUGGGAGGGUGGGCGGUCACACUGGGACUGAGAUACGGCCCAGACUCCUGCGGGAGGCAGCAGUGGGGGGUAUUGCACAAUGGGCGGAAGCCUGAUGCAGCGACGUCGCGUGAGGGAUGGAGGCCUGCGGGUUGUGAACCUUUUUCGCCGGUGAAGAAGGUCCUGCUCUUUGUGGUGGGGUUGACGGUGGCCGGGUUAUGAAGCGCCGGCUAACUACGUG